rnacentral:ncRNA from 1 species
UAAAGUUUUAUUUUAGCUUAUUAGGUAUUUAAAUAGGCCAUUAUUUUUCUGGUUGCAAUAUUGAAGAUUGAAAAUAAAAGAAAAUAAGAUUUAGGAAUUCAUAGUAGUAUUAACUAAACUUGUGCCAGCAGCCGCGGUUAUACAGAUAAAUAAUGUAAUUUAAUUUUUAUUUGGUAUAUAGUAUUAGUAUAUAAUAUAUUAGUAUUAGGUUAAAUUUAUUAGGUGAAAUUAUUAAUUUGAUAUAAAUUAUAAAUUUAUAAUAUGAGGUUAUGAAAUUUUUUUUUAUAAACUAGGAUUAGAUACCCUAUUAUUGGAAACGUAAAUUUAUUAUACUAGAUUAGUAGUAGUUAUGUUCUUGAAAUUCAAAAAAUCUGGCGGUAUUUUAGUCUAUUCAGAGGAACCUGUCCUAUAAUUGAUAGUCCACGAUUAAUUUUACUUAUCUUAAAGGUUUGUAUAUCGUCGUAGUUUGAAUGUUCUUUAAGGAAAAAAAUGUUCAAGAUUUAUAUAAUAAUAAUGGAAGUCAGAUCAAGAUACAGCGGAUAAGUGAGAAGAAAUGGGUUACAAUAAUUUAUUUAAAUGGUUAUAGUAAUUAAACAUUAUAAUAUAAAGUGGAUUUGAUAGUAAUUUAAUUUAUAUAAUUUAAAUGAUUUUAGCUCUAAAAUAUGCACAUAUCGCCCGUCGCUCCCACUUUAAGGUGGGAUAAGUCGUAACAAAGUAGGCUUACUGGAAAGUGUGCCUGGUCAG